GGGGGUGUAGCUCAAUGGUAGAGCGUGUGCUUUGCUUGCACGAGGCCCUAGGUUCGAUCCCCAGCACCUCCA